GCUAAAGUCAACAGUCGCUUGGUUUGAGCUCAAAUAAAUGCGGGGAUGCCUCGGCUCGGAGCAGUCGGCCUCCUCCCUCCGCGAGCUGGACGCUCCGCAGCCCGCCCGCCCGCCGGCCCGCCGGCCGCCGCAGGAACCCCUGGAUAAAGACCAGCUCAACCAUCGCUGAGAAAACAGACCUAGGCUUCCCAGGGCGGUUAACCCGCCGGCCUCUGGGCAGAGACUACAAAACAAAAUAAAACAACAACAAAAAACUCCCAGUGUGUUUCCUACUCUUCUUUUUCUUGGAGGAAAGCAAAGGGAGAGAAAUGGACUUCACCAGUGGUCUUUGGCUUCAUCAAUUCACAGGAAAUGGCAUCAAGAUGGUUCAACUAAGACAUGAUCACUAAAAACAUUAUAAUAAUACCUUUUUGAAAAACUCAGUUUCUCCUGUUUACUAAAUAUUUAUUUCAUCAACAUGGGCUGCAUUCCACUGUGUCAGGAUUCUGCAUGUGGGUGGAGCACUGUUCCGGCCUGAGAAGAUGGUUCUGAGGCCACUUAGCAAGACAUUUUCCAGCAUGAGCAGGUUUCUCUGUGGAAAUAGUGACACCUGUUCUGGUGUGUUGUCUUUCCUCAGGGAACUUAAGGGGUACUAAGCUCCUGAAAAUGUUCUUUAUGCUGGUUGAAGCUCUUAUGUCACUGUACUGAUUCCCUACGAUGCAGAUUUGAAUCACAGAGUAAUUAAAAUAUGGAUCAAAUAAGGCUGGGGUUCACCAAGGCUGAAAGCUGUAGCCAUUCAAGGCAUCAUUUCUGUCAUGAAAAUAUAGGACCUUUUCAAAACAUGCCUUCAGGAAGGUGUUCCCUUUUCAAACAAAAGUCUAAUGACUGCAUAACUCUUCUUGACCACAUCUUACACUUUCUCUAGACUUGCUUAUUUACAGCUACUGGAACAAAAAGAUGAAAUGAAUAAAGCACACUGAUUGUCCUAAGAGUCUUCUGUGACUAAAAGCACAUGAGCUUCUCCCCAGGCUGAGCUUUGACCCUCCCAAGCAUUUCCCCAAAGGCCAUGACACUGCAUCAGAUUGCUCCUGGACACUUUCCUCAGAGUUUUCAACAAAUAUAAACUGAGGAAUGGAGCACAGCACCAGAUUUGCUAAUCAAGAGGCAAUGGUCCCAGUCCAAAUGGGUGCUGUGUGUGAAUACAGAGCUCAGGAGAAGGGAAGGAGGUGUGUGAACAUCAGGAAUUGCAAAAUCUUGCUGAACCAAUAGACCAACAGCCAUUAACAUUUAUCAAUGCAAAGAUCCUAAAAUAUACAAGUGUGGAGUUGUCCUGCCCUAAGAGCUGAAGCUGUGACAAUCACGCUGCCAUGGUAGAUAUUUAAGCUCCCCUGAGGUUACUGAAUCUAACAAUGAAUAAACAAUGAAGAGUAGCUAAUUUUUGGAAAUCUCUUUCUAUGACCGGAAAAUAUUCACAAACUCAGAGUGAUUGUUUGGGGUGAAAGAUGGUCCCAUGCUUUGUGGGCCUCUCUUUGCUAUCUAUACAACGUUGGAAAUGAACCCCUCCCUUACAGGAAAGUGAAUAGCAACCAAGGUGAGCCCACCCUGGGAGGGCAGAGUGGGUGUACUUUCCUCUAAGAGCCCUGAAAACAACAGGGCACACAAACAGCCACAGCACCCUCAACAAUGCCCCACCAUCUGCCCACCAGGGCACACAGAUUCACGCAGAUUCAGUGACACAUUCCAAAAAAAGGGAAUUAGGGAGGACCCAUGGCAUGGCUAAUGGGGAGAGAGCUUUACUACUUUUAGCGCUAUUGCUAAUUAUUGGAGCAAAGAAAGGCAUACAAGGAAUGGAACCCAACCUGUUUAAAGUAAUAAAUGUCAACCCUAAAGUGCAUGGAACCAUCUCUCCUUCCCUUUUGAGGACUGUGUGCUUCACAAGCUGGGCGUUUGCUGCAUGGGGUUUUCUAAUGUAAUGUGAAUUUUCAAUGUGCUUUGUCUCUGUAGAGUGGCUUUAAAAAGCCCUUGAAGUCCUCAGCUUUAAAUCCAUGCUAAUAGGGGAAGUCUUUUUUUUUUUUUUGGAGGUGAGGAGCUUUGGUUGGGAGAAACAUUGACCCAGACUGCACUCUGGGUAAACUAGGGCAAAAGACCUGAUAUCGUCUGCAGGGUACUUAUUAACCACUGUUCAUUUGCAGGAUCAAUAUUUCCAGCAAAGGAGUCAACACUCAAGAUACACUGCUACGUCUCACUUUUUCCUUGACACAACAAUUUAUUUUAUAAAUGCAUCUGCUGGAGAAGAAAAGGCAGUACCAAGGAUUGUGUCUUUUAUCUCCAGGAUAUGCAAAGCGCAUUUAUUUUCAGCUUUUAUCUCUGGAAUUGUAUGUUGAUCCCAUACAUAUAGAUUGAUUUUGUUCAGGUAGAUAAUGAAAAGUCAAGUGGAAAAUUACACAAUGGCAUUCACGAUCCUAGUCUUAUAUCGGUAUAUAAAUUGGUUUAUUAUUUCAUUCUUUUAAAGAGGCUUUUUUUUGGUACCAGGAAAACUUCAAAAUGCAUUGUGUUGUCAGCCUCACUGAAUUUUCUUUUGGAGGAGGAGGUAGGGAGGGGAAGCCAAAGCCCCGAUUUCUCCUGCUCCUUUUGCUAAUUGUAUUGGCUAAAUGAGUUUUCACAGAGGGGGGUCCUGGCUGCUUUUUGCUCUCCCCCAGACCACUUGUAGGUUGCACACAGGGCUUCUAUAACUCUUUCUGAGUCAGGACAAAGAUAUCCGCCGUGCACACCCUGUGACAUAGGUGGAUAUUUAUUUCAUCCCGGGCAAUUCUAAAUUUUGUCAUGAUGACUGAAAGAGGCAAUCCCCUCCUGAGCAUUAAGAGGCCAGGGGUGAGAGGGUGGCAGCAUAGAAAAGCCACCACCCAGAGACAGCUUGGAGCCAUGAUCCUGGAGGAAAUGUUAUUAAUAAACAUCUUUUGGACAUUUGGUAGCCCGUGGAGCUUGCUCCAGCUUAAAGCAAUUAAUUCAGGACACUGACAUAAACUCUCCAGAUCUUUGACAGCUUGGAGCCGAAAUAAAAAUGCUAGUUCUCCGGGGAAGAGAAGAGGAUGGCUAGCCCUUUUCUGGACUGUUUGCUUAUAGGCCCAGAGAGCAACCUUCCUUGCAGAAUGAAAUGCAAGGGCACAAACAAUGUACCAGGGAGAGAAUAGAAGAUGGGAAUGAACAGUUUGAACUAUUUGCUCAGCAGAAGGGCACCACAAUGCUGGGGUAGUGGUUUUCCCAUGCGUCCACUGUCCCUUCUUUGGGAUCUUUUGUUGUCCCCUGUCUCCUUUGGCCAGAUAAGAGCACAGCUGCAGCAUUGCAGCUAACAAGUAGGCCGUACUUAUCCCCCUAAAUCUCGGGGUGCCUUUACUGUAACAAGUUAUGCUCGGCUCUCUUUUAUUUUACAAGAGGAUGGUGAGGGAGAGAAUGGAAGAACAGAGGGGGCGGACGUAUAAGACAUUUGACACUGCCUAUGUCUGAUUUCUCUUUCUUUCUUUCUUUCUUUCUUUCUUUCUUUCUUUCUUUCUUUCCUUUCUUUCUUUCUUGCAAGCUGUGAUCGGAUGCAAUCUUUGUGGGGCAUUUAAAUGGAAGGGUUCAUUGAUGUGUAUUGCUUGCCAAGCCAAAAUGUUGCCUUUGGGGAAAAGGGAGAGAGGUGUUCAUGGAGUGCAGGGAAAGGAGGUUUUGGGGCAGAGAUUUUGAUUUAAAAUAACCAGACUUCUUCUGGCUGAUGAAAAGAGGCAAAAGUUUUAAAUUGUCAAGUUUAAAACUAUGUUCAGUUAUGAUUUGCCACUUCUGAAUAUUAUUUUGGAUUUCCCCUUUCAUGCUUAUUUUGUUCAGAAUCCUAAUGAAUAGAGGUUGCUGGACUCAGGGUAAAAGCAGGAUGAACUGGAGAUGGGACAUACAAGGUACUUUUGUAAUUGCCAUAGAUUACACCUAUAAUCAGAGUAAAUGUCAUCAACAAAUAAUCAAAACAUUUUUUACAUUUGCUCUUCUAAAAUCAGAGCCUAUUUUAAAUAUAAAAGAAAGUAGAUGUGAUAAUAAUAUAAACUACAAUUACAUUAAGUUGAUAUUAAAGUCAAAAUCUAACGUAGAUUUGCACUGUUGGGUGUGUGUUCCGAAUCAGUGGGUUUUCCCACUGAUGUUGAUUUCGGGAGCCAGGCUUCAAUGUUUAAUUCUAUUGUAAUGUGGUUAUUUAGCCUGAAUGGUUUUAUAAGGUGAAAAGGCAAAAAAUUUAAUUCCGAAGAAAACUAGUGUUUUACUAUGACUGUGGUAAACAUUUCCGAAGCCCACCUGUGGGAAAUACAAAGUUUUAAUGCUGUGUGUUUUUUUGUUUUUGUAUUUUGUCUCAUCGACAAAACUGGCAGAAAAAAAUGCUUUCGCAUAUUUUUCCUGCUGGGUGGUCAGAAGGAAAGGCCGUGAAGCUAAAUGUCUCCCAUUGAGACGCUGUUCUGCAAAGAGCCGACCUCACGUGCCGCCGCCAGAGAAGAGAGCACCUGUUUAUCAAGGCUCACUGUGAGGCUGAGCUCAGCGCUGGCAGGCGAGGGGCCGCAAGCAUCCCCCACAGCCACCGAGAGGGCAUCCCUGCAGGGAAAUCAUAUCCGACAUGCCUGUGCCCACACCAGACUUAAGACUGCCUCUAAAAUGUCCAUGAAGCCAUUGUCCAGUAGAGCUGUUAGUUUUAACACCAGUGAGUAUUACCUUUGGUUAAAAGGAUGCAUGUGUAUAGGUAUAUGUGUGUGCGUGUGUGUUUGUGUUUUUGGACUUGUGUGGAGAAUGAAGAAAGGGUUCCAUUUAGGCAUUUGCAAAUAUUCGAUGGCAUAAUGAAAAGACAAAAAAAUCCUAUAAAAUAUAUCAUAUUUUGCUAUGAUUUUGUGUGUACAUGUAAUAAAAUUAUUAAGUAUAAA
rnacentral:lncRNA from 1 species